ACGGAGGGGGCUAGCGUUGUUCGGAUUUAUUGGGCGUAAAGGGCCCGUAGGCGGCUCGGCAAGUUCGACGUGAAAUCUCCCGGCUCAACCGGGAGGGUGCGUUGAAGACUGCCGGGCUGGAGUCAGGGAGAGGGAAGUGGAAUUCCCGGUGUAGUGGUGAAAUGCGUAGAUACUGGGAGGAACACCAGUGGCGAAGGCGGCAUCCUGGCCCUGCCCUGACGCUCAGGGGCGAAAGCGUGGGGAGCAAACGG
rnacentral:rRNA from 1 species